UCGAACGGUGAAGCCAAGCUUGCUUGGUGGAUCAGUGGCGAACGGGUGAGUAACACGUGAGCAACCUGCCCUGGACUCUGGGAUAAGCGCUGGAAACGGCGUCUAAUACUGGAUAUGAGCCUCUUCCGCAUGGUGGGGGUUGGAAAGAUUUUUUGGUCUGGGAUGGGCUCGCGGCCUAUCAGCUUGUUGGUGAGGUAAUGGCUCACCAAGGCGUCGACGGGUAGCCGGCCUGAGAGGGUGACCGGCCACACUGGGACUGAGACACGGCCCAGACUCCUACGGGAGGCAGCAGUGGGGAAUAUUGCACAAUGGGCGAAAGCCUGAUGCAGCAACGCCGCGUGAGGGAUGACGGCCUUCGGGUUGUAAACCUCUUUUAGCAGGGAAGAAGCGAAAGUGACGGUACCUGCAGAAAAAGCGCCGGCUAACUACGUGCCAGCAGCCGCGGUAAUACGUAGGGCGCAAGCGUUAUCCGGAAUUAUUGGGCGUAAAGAGCUCGUAGGCGGUUUGUCGCGUCUGCUGUGAAAUCCCGAGGCUCAACCUCGGGCCUGCAGUGGGUACGGGCAGACUAGAGUGCGGUAGGGGAGAUUGGAAUUCCUGGUGUAGCGGUGGAAUGCGCAGAUAUCAGGAGGAACACCGAUGGCGAAGGCAGAUCUCUGGGCCGUAACUGACGCUGAGGAGCGAAAGGGUGGGGAGCAAACAGGCUUAGAUACCCUGGUAGUCCACCCCGUAAACGUUGGGAACUAGUUGUGGGGACCAUUCCACGGUUUCCGUGACGCAGCUAACGCAUUAAGUUCCCCGCCUGGGGAGUACGGCCGCAAGGCUAAAACUCAAAGGAAUUGACGGGGACCCGCACAAGCGGCGGAGCAUGCGGAUUAAUUCGAUGCAACGCGAAGAACCUUACCAAGGCUUGACAUACACCAGAACGGGCCAGAAAUGGUCAACUCUUUGGACACUGGUGAACAGGUGGUGCAUGGUUGUCGUCAGCUCGUGUCGUGAGAUGUUGGGUUAAGUCCCGCAACGAGCGCAACCCUCGUUUCUAUGUUGCCAGCACGUUAAAGGUGGGAACUCAUG
rnacentral:rRNA from 1 species